GCGGCAGUGUGAGGCACGCCAGCAGCUUCGAGAAGGGAGGAUGCUGAGCCUGCGCUGCCGGCUGGGGCUCCUGCUGCUGGCCCUGCUCCGAGCAUCUCGCCCGGACACUCAGGGGCAGCCUGGCAGCCCCGAGGGGAGAGGAGCUCGGGCAGAAAUCCCAGCGUCUGCAUCAGGAGAGGCACAGGACAGGAGCUCUUGUGGUGCUGGGAUUGGCACCAGCAAUUUCACAGCUGGUUAGUGAGCCUACGAGGGGUGGUGCCCCACUAAACCUUCUCUUCACAAACAGAGAAGGACUGGUGGGAGAUGUGGUUGUCGGGAGCUGUCUUGGGCAGAGUGACCACGAAAUGGUGGAGUUCACUAUUCUUGGCGAGGCCAGGAAGGGGACCAGUAAAACCGCUGUACUGGACUUUCGGAGGGCUGACUUUGGGCUGCUCAGGACACUGGUUGGUGGAAUCCCUUGGGAGGCGGUUCUGAAGGGCAGAGGGGUCCAGGAAGGCUGGGCGCUCUUCAAGAGGGAAAUCCUAAUGGUACAGGAGCGGUCUGUUCCCAUGUGCCCAAAGAUGAGCUGGCGGGGAAGAAGACCAGCCUGGCUGAACAGAGAAUUGUGGCUUGAGCUUAGGAGAAAAAAGAGGGUUUAUAAUCUUUGGAAAAUUGGGCAGGCCACUAGGGAGGACUAUAAGAAUGUAGCGAGGCUGUGCAGGGACAAAAUUAGGAAGGCCAAAGCUCAUCUGGAGCUCAAUCUGGCUACUGCCGUUAAAGGUAACAAAAAAUAUUUUUAUAAAUACAUCAACACAAAAAGGAGGACUAAGGAGAAUCUCCAUCCUCUACUGGAUGCGGGGGGAAACUUAGUUACAAGAGAUGAGGAAAAGGCGGAGGUGCUCAAUGCCUUCUUUGCCUCAGUCUUUAGCGGCAAUACCGGUUGUUCUCUGGAUACCCAGUACCCUGAGCUGGUGGAAGGGGAUGGGGAGCAGGAUGCGGCCCUCACCAUCCACAAAGAACUGGUUGGAGACCUGCUACGGCACUUGGAUGUGCACAAGUCGAUGGGGCCGGAUGGGAUCCACCCAAGGGUACUGAGAGAACUGGCAGAGGAGCUGG
rnacentral:lncRNA from 1 species